UUUGGAAGUGCUUGAGUGGACUUGAAGUGAGUUGGAUGGGCAAAAUAAGCUUCAAAGUGCUGCUACAGCUAGUUGUUUAGUGCAGGGACUGAAUUGUAAGCUCCAGGGACUAAACUGUGAACCUGCAGGGACUGAAUCGCGAACUACUGGACUGCAAUGCAGUUUUAGCAUUUUGAGGGAUUAAACAGCAAUUUGCUGAGCUUAUCACCUUAACCCAGUCCAGCUAAAUAUGUCUACGUGUAAGAACCUCCUUCCACAGCUCUUUUCUCAUCUCUUUUCUUCUUCUCUUUCUCUCUCUAGCCGAUUGAUGCAGGGAGAGGGUGGUGUGGCAAAUUGAAGCUUUGGAGGUUGAUAGGAGCUGUCGAACAGCAGGAAACCAGCUAAGAAGGUUUAUAACUUCAGGUAAUUAAAUUAUUCUCAGCUGAAAUCAAAGUAAAAGAGAGGUCUAAAGGAGUAAAACUUGUGUUGGUAGAGUUAGUGGCUGUGAAAGAAGGCUUGGUGGUGAGCAGAUUUGAGGUUUGUGGCCUGAUUGGAGCUACCAAAUUAGAGUUCCAGCUGAGGAAACUUGAAAAUUAAAGUGAGUAUCUUGCUUCUCUGCUAGGCUUAAAGUAUUGCCUAAGAGAAAGGUUUCUAACUGAUUUAAAUGGACAUAGGAAUGCAAGGAAUUAAAGAGGAAUCGUGAAGAUCUCGGCGCCCAAAUUGAAAGAGGCUGAUGGAUCCUCUUAGAUAAUUCGAAUUAAAAAAAGAACUUGAUAAAACCUUGAAUCAAGGUAAGGCUAAUGCUUAUCCCUGGUUAAGUGAUAGAGAUUACUCUAAAAGGGAAUUGCAAACAUUAGAAUAACUUAAUUUGAAUUGGCACAGGGGGCUGCGAAGGAGAAGCCGAAGUGCUGAAAUUUCUGCAUUGCGCAGAAUUUCAGCAUAGACUACUUGCUAUUGGAAUUGGAAAAGAGAACUUGGUGAAGCUUCGAAUUGGGUAAGUGAAUAGUUCUUUCCCGAGUUGAGUGAUAGGAGUUACUCUAAAGAGGUUAUAAGUACUUGAAUUAGUUAAUUGGAAUUGGUAUAGGGGCUGCAAAGGGGAAGUAGGUGUGCAGAAUUUCAGCAUAAGUACCCUGCUGUUGGAGCUGAAAGAAAGCGUGUUGGAGCUGCGAAUUGAGGUAAGAUUGAUGCUUAUCCCUAGUUGGAGUUAUAUUAGUUACUCUAGAAGAGUUCUAAGCAAGAGAACUAAUUGUUCUAUGCUGGUAGUGGCUACACAAAGAUGAAGUGAAGUGCUGAAAUUUCAGCAUGAUGCAGAAUUUCAGCAUGAUGCUGAAAUUAAGAUUGAGCUGGAAUUAUUGCCUUGAUGGAGCUCUUGGGUGUGCCGAAUUGAAAAGGAACCUGGUAGAGUGGUAUUAGAUGGAUCUGAGAUGAAAGGGAUCUAAAGAUUAUGAUUAGAAAGAGAAUUCCUGCUGUAAAUAAGUAAUAAACAGGGAAGUAUAGAUGCCGAGACGUUUAAGUAUUAUGAAUUCUAUGAGAUUUGCUCUAAGUAUAUACUUAUGAUUAGUUGUUGGAAGGUAAAGCUGAGCUAAGAUCAUGAUAAAUUCAUCUUAAGGUUGAUGUUAUUGGUCCCUAAUUCUUGAUUAUUAAAGUCUAAAGUUGAUUAGAAAUUUACUAGUGAGACUAGGCAUAUGUAUAUGUGGAUCGUAUAUACAUAUAUACAAGUACCUUGGAGUAGAAAUGCAAACUUGUAAAAUAUGUGAAUGUGACCUUAGUUAAUCUCUUUUAUUCUCUUAUGAAUGAAAGUUAAACUUGUACAAAAGUCUAAAUUGACAUUCCGACAGGUCGGCGAAGCGUUAAUUGCAUUAGAAGCCAAUUCGGCUCUAGUUGCAUUGAGUCGCGUAAUACCUUUGCGGAUUCACUUCGAGACGUGGAUUCUAGUUGUUGACACCACUACAGGUGGGUGGUGCUAUCCGAAGUCUUUGAAUCACCUUUUAUGUCUAUGUUAUUCAUUGAGCAUAUUUACUUCUGUUUUUCAUGCAUUAUAGGGUAUGGGCAUUGGUAUUAUGCAAGUGAUAGUGAAUGUGUGAAUUCUUAUUGAUAGUGAGAACAUAUGAACAUAGAAUGUGGACAUAGAAACCUAUGAAUGCAUGGACUAUAACAAUAGUGAACUUGGUGACAUAUGACUAGAGAUUUGGUUAGCAUCGACAUUGGAAUUAUAAAACUAGCAUAAAGAGCUAGUUAGAGUAAAGUGUGACAGUGUUUGUCAGUUAAAUCCUCUAAAGGGGGAUCAGAUCAUACUCACAUUUGUUUGGUUCAAGUGAGGUCGCUCCUCCUUGAACGAUGAGCUCCGGAGUAGUCAUCUUUACUGGACCAGGAGGUUGCGUCUCCCCCAGUUGACAGUCCCGUCGGGUGCAGGUUGCGUCUCCCCGAUAUUUGGGAUAGUGUCAGUGAGUUAAUGUUAACCAGAGGGUUAACCAAAAGAUUGGAUAAAGAUAAUGAAAAGCAUGCAUGCAUAUUUACAGUUUUCAUAUACAUCGUUUCUUUCAGCUUGUACAGGCAUUGUAGUAGUUACAUAUUAUAGUCGGUUACUAUCUCAGUUUACUUUUCUUGCCUACAUAUGCCUGAGUAGACCUAGUGGGUGAGUCGGCGAGGUCGGCGGCCGAACCCACUGGGAACUUUCUUGUAGUUCUCACACCACUAACCAUAUAGGUUCCAGUGCGAGUAUUGUGGCCGAGGAUCGAGGCAAGAGCCAGCAGCCUAGCUAGUGGACACCCGAGUACUAGUGGUAUACCAUUUUGGGUUCAUGUAUCAUCUAUUUCGAUGUACAGAGACAUGUAAAUGAAUGUAUAUAAAGUAUGUAAUAACUAAAUGUUUCAGUUAUGUAAAGUUUUAAAUUACAGUGAAUUUCAUUGUACAGUUAGUUUACUAUCACUUGUGUUGUUGCUUGCCAUCGUGCAAGCCAUGUAUAUUGAAAUGUGAUCCUGGGAAUUGUUUAUUUCUUUAUACAUGUAUUCGUUGUUGUUGAGCCUUGGGCGAACAGAGGAGGUGCUGUUCGUUCGGCGUCUGUGUACGGGCCCGGAUCGACCAAAUUGGCGAUAGCGGGACGUGACAGAUAGAGUGGUAUCAGAGCAAGUGAUAGUGAAAGUCUAGGAUGACCUAGGGGACUUAGGAAUGGAAACCUAGGAACCAGGAACGCGAGUGGCGUGAAUCUAAUGAUAGCGAAGGCUAAAUUAAUUUGGUUAGUUGUUAGUAAGUCUCUAAUGUUAAUUAGGGGCUGAUCCAAGUGUUAUUUAUACGCAACGAACGGAGUUAUGUUGGGGGCCCACAACAUAAAGCUAAGGGUUGAGUAUAAAUACACUUAUUGCUUUCGCCUGAUUGGUAUUGUUCUACUAGUGUAAACGGUUCAUUUCAAGAGAAAUGUCGCGACGUGCGACGAGAUCCACUCCGGCAUCACCUCCUGGGAUGCCAGAGCAGACUGGAUCUAGCGAAGUUCAGGAGCUACGUGCUCCGAUGAGCGCGUUAGUUGGAAUUGUACAGAGGCAGGAGGAGAAUAUGAAGAAGUUACAGGAUCUAGUGUCGCAACAGGCGACAACAGCAGCAUCUGAGGAUCAGGCUGUAUAUAUACCUAAUCCGACAGUGAGAGUGCCCCUCCUCCAGUGAUGAUUCCUCCAGUGAUUUCUGGGCCGUCUGAUUUUGAUUUGACUGCAACAAGGACUGAGCACGAGCAAUCAUUGGCUGUAUUGAUGGCGUUUCUGCGGUUCAAUCCGCCUAUGUUGAUGGAAAGAAGGCAGAUCCUUGGGUAUUGGAGACAUGGCUCGCCUCGAUGGAAGCCUUAUUUGAGGAUAUCGAUACCCUGGAAAAGGAUAAGAUUCAUUUGGCAGCACUAUUUCGAAAAGGACACACAAAAUUGGUAGAUUGAGUCAAUGGACUCUAGAAGACUGUGAAGUAGUUGGAUAAAGAAAUACUUGCAGGUCGAGAAUCUAUGGAGUGGCUUCGGGGAGAUUCUCCCAGAAAGGAUUUGCUUAUCGAGGACAGGAUAUAGAGUUGUUGUUGGAAUUAACGACAAGUGGACUUCAAGAUAAAUCAUGGGGGCUACAGCAGGAUGCCUGUUCAGAGAAAAGUAGGUAGAAAGAUUUUCUAUAUGCUAAGUUAUGAUUAGUACACAGUGUGAGAUAUUGGAAACAAGGCCGGUUAGGAAAUAUGGAAACUUUGACAGGAAAUUUGUCAAAGCUAUGCGCUUUCCUGAUCUAUGAACUUCUGAUGAAGUAAUGGACCGAACCUUGUGGUUGAAGUUAAGUGAUAUUUCGCACGGAAGGGGUGCGAAUUGAUUAGUGAGAAUGAAGGAUAAGCGACUGAUAUUGAGCUCGAGUGAUUAAUCGAGUGCCAAGUGACAGCCGGAAGAGAGUUGUAGUCGUUAACCUAGAAUUCGGAAAGGUCUGUUGGUUGACCUUUUACUUUGAGAGGAAUGAUUGUGAUAAUUUUCACCUGGCCAGGCCACGUGUAUUAUUGGAUAAGUGAAGUGGUAAAAAAACUGCCUUCAGUAAGAAGAUUGUAUAUUUGGAAAUGAUACAAACUCCGAGCGGUACAUGCAAGAAUGUGAUAGAGCCUUGGAUUUGACACUAGCGUGCAAGGAUGAAGAGAAUAUAUUGUCUAUUGAGGGAUAGAUAGUUGGAUCGUGCUAGUGAGCAGUCACAGUGAGCCAAUGUUGGGGCUCGAGAUGAAGAUGGACAUAGUGGACCUAUUCUCUAAACCAUUCGGGUGGUAAUGAGAAUUAAAUUAGAAACGUUAGAAGACGUUUCUAGAAUUCGAAAAUCUAGAUAGUAUUUCCGAUGGAUUGUGUAGUGGUAAGGGCGUCACUAUUGUGGCAUGGUUAGAUGAUCGCCUGGUUUUGGCAAGUUAGUUGAGUUGUACCUCAAAUAAGUUGAGGAAUUGUGUUUGCGUAUUCGAGGCAUAGGCUGAAUUACCUAGCGUGAGAUGUCUAGCGAGAGAUACGAUAGUGUAAGACGCUUGAGUAUAGCUGUCGGUAGAAUGUGGAUUAUGGUUCAGCUAGGAGAGUGUGUUGGCAGUAGCACUGGAGCGUUGCUAAGUGUGAAGCGUGCCAAGGAUCACUCGCGGGGCUGGUGGCUCGCAGGUGCUUAGGAGCCGAUAGUGGUACUUGUAGCUCUGUAGAGCAUGUCGUGUAGGACGACGGCGGGUAGUGCUUGGUGACGACCCGUGCCUGGACCCUUUGUGGACUGUGGAGCCUGGGCCCAUUGGGCAGGCGCAGUCAGCUGCGAGAGGCAGCGGCCUGGUACCUACGGGUAGGGCAGAGAUUUGGUCCGGACGGUAGUCCGAGCUUGGACCCGAGUACGUGGAAUGCCACGUGUUAGAUCGUGAGAUCGAGGAUACAGAGUGUAGCGACCCAACCCGAGGACUUGACAUGGUUUGGAGUUGCGGUUGCUCCGGUUAGAGUGAGUGUGAAUUCUUCAAUAAGAAUGUCGCCCGAUGAUGAUUGGGUCUACGCUUGCGAGCGAGAAACCUUAUGUAAGGUGGAAUUGAGAUAAGUAAUUUAGCUGAUUGCUCUCGAAGUGCGAGAGUUGGUGAAUUGAGGAUAGUGACCUCAGGAGCGGAGGCUCGGUCCUAUUAGUUGCCUAUUUUGAACCGCCGAGUUAGGCGUCGAUGAGAAAUUGAGAUUAGAAGCACGAACGAGGUGUUCGUGGAAACUCGUGGCAAGAGAUUGAUAUAUUGUGAACGUGGCUGGAAAAGUCAAAGGUUUCCUUUGAGAUUAGUGUGUAGUGGAAGCCACGUGAAAUGUUGGAGGAUUAUGUCUUCAAAUCAUUAGAGUGUGGAGAUGUUAGAAUGAACCCUUCGUUGAGAAGUGGAAAUUUGUGGGUGAUGGAACACUCACAAUUGAGUGGUGUAUUGUGAUAUCGCAGAUGACGAUGCCAGUUGAGGAAUCAAAGUAGACUCCACCGAAGAAUGAUGAGAAUAGCGAAUGUUAUCUAACAAGUUUAUAUAUGAACCAAGGUGGUUUAUGUAUUUUGAGUACGAAUCAUACAGGAAUGAUUCCCAUCGUGAGUAAAACAGAUAGCAAUAUUCUUUGGAAUAAGAGGAUGUUAUUGUUGUGAAUUGGUUAUCAUCUAUUGAUGAUAAGAAUGAUGACAGGGACAUGUUAAGAUGAUGAUGCGGGUAAUCAUUGAUUUAUGAGGAAAAAUCAUACUUAGUGGUAUUAAAUGGUGGUCAACUAUUGAUGAUAGUUGAUUACGACACGGGCUUGAUAAGCAGUUUGUGUGAGUAGCUGUUGAUUACAUGAAAAGAGUGCCGAUUUCUGGAUAUAUCACUUCAGUGAGAAAGUAAUCAAAACAAAGAAGUUUUGAUGAUGAAUGACCUCGGAGAAGAGUAAGUCAUUGAAUGUUGACUUCCAUUGCCAUUGAGACUGGAAGAACUUGUAGCAAUCCGUUGGAAAGAACACAGAAUGGUGUAAUUCUGUAUAUUAGUAAGUAUUGAAAAUAAAGGAUUGGAAAUAUGUAUGAAUUGUGGAUUAAGUUAAAGUGGAAGUGGAACCUAUGGCAGAGUUGCAAUGUUAAGUAUUGAGAAAGGAUUGUAUUUAAUCCUAAUGUACUCCAAGAGGCGGAGAAAAAGGUACGCCUAGUCCGCCAGACAUUGUUAACGGCUCGGUUAAGGCAGCAGAGUUAUGCAACUAAGUGUCGAAGGAGCUUGGAAUUUGCGGUUGGCGAUCGAGUAUUAUAGAAAGUGUCGCCAAUGCAAGGGACAAAAGAGAUUUGGUGUUCGAGGAAAGCUUAGUCCUCGAUGUAUUGGAUCCUAUGAGAUCCUAGCACGAGUUGGAGCAGUAGCCUAUCGUUUGGCUCUACCGCCAAAAUUUGAAGGAAUUCACAAUGUAUUUUAUGUCUCCAAUCUUCGCAAGGAUGUGUAUCACCUUGGACACAUUCUGGAACUCGAAUCAGUGGAUCCGCAAGAGAACAUGAUCUAUGAAGUUUAUCCAGUGUGCAUCUUGGAUUGCGAGGUAAAAGAAUUGCGAAGUCGCAAUAUCCCCGAGGCGAAAGUACAAUGGAGUAAUUACUCAGGACGAGAGGCUACAUGGGGAUUGGAAGAAGCUAUGCGCAAAUCCUACCCUCAUCUAUUUGACCAGGAGAAUUGAAGUAUGAAAUCGAGUUUCGAGGACGAAACUAUUUUAAGGAGGGGAGAUUGUAAUAGGCUGAAACUUGAUUAGAAGCUAAUUGUGAUCAAAGUGGUCACAAUAACGCUAAAAUGGAAAUUAAGUGUUUCCAAACUUAACUAGAGGCUUGAGAACACCAAGUGACAGGUUUUGGAAAUGUGGGAAUAGAUAAGAAUGGAAUUGGAGUGGCUAAAUACAUUCAAUUGCCAUUUUGACUCGAAAGCUGAAAUUCUAGUCACUUUGGUCAAAAAUGGCCAAAUUGAUACCAAAUUGGAAAUUAAUUGCUUCCAAAUUAAUUUGACAACUUGUAGAGGUAUAUUAGUGUAAUUUGGAAGUGCUUGAGUGGACUUGAAGUGAGUUGGAUGGGCAAAAUAAGCUUCAAAGUGCUGCUACAGCUAGUUGUUUAGUGCAGGGACUGAAUUGUAAGCUCCAGGGACUAAACUGUGAACCUGCAGGGACUGAAUCGCGAACUACUGGACUGCAAUGCAGUUUUAGCAUUUUGAGGGAUUAAACAGCAAUUUGCUGAGCUUAUCACCUUAACCCAGUCCAGCUAAAUAUGUCUACGUGUAAGAACCUCCUUCCACAGCUCUUUUCUCAUCUCUUUUCU
rnacentral:lncRNA from 1 species